UAAUACAUGCAAGUCGAACGAGAAAGCUACUUCGGAAGUUAGUAGAGUGGCGCACGGGUGAGUAACACGUAGGUGAUCUGCCCCUUUGGCGGGGGAUAACUCUUAGAAAUGAGAGCUAAUACCGCAUAAUAUCGACAAAUUUGAAAGUAGUUGAUUUAAAGGAUGCCUCUCCUUGGAAGCAUUCACCAAAGGAUGAGCCUGCGGGACAUUAGCUAGUUGGUGGGGUAAUGGCCUACCAAGGCGACGAUGUCUAGCUGAUUUGAGAGAAUGAUCAGCCACACUGGAACUGAGACACGGUCCAGACUCCUACGGGAGGCAGCAGUAGGGAAUAUUGCGCAAUGGGCGAAAGCCUGACGCAGCAAUACCGCGUGAGUGAGGAAGGUCUUCGGAUUGUAAAGCUCUGUCAGAGUGGAAAAACGGCAUAGGGUCCAAUAGGCCUUAUGUUUGAUGGUACACUCAAAGGAAGCACCGGCUAACUUCGUG
rnacentral:rRNA from 1 species